UGGAGACAAUCCAAUGCCAAUUAUAUAGUCUAUACACAUUUCAGGAAUUAAAUUCUGCUGAACAAUCAAUUCUGCUCAAUAAUAGUAAUUAUAGUAUAUUAUCUAAUACAAAACUACAUAUUUUUAUCUCAAAACGGUGUAGUGGAGUGGAACACAGGCUGCAGAUGGACUGGCUUUGCGGUAUAAUAAAUAUUAUUUUUAAUAUGCAGAGAGAAUUUCACGAUAUUCACCUGAAGAUGAAUGAUAUCGAAUUACGAAGAUAUUUUGGUGUAUCUUCUCUGUCAAACGGUACGUGACGUGAACCUAUCUAAUAUUAGUAGACAAAUUUAUUAGAUGCCAAUAAAUUAGAAAAGGUAUUUUACAUAAAAGGAUUCCUAAUUAGGAUCUGAUAUCAUCCGAGAUAGGACUCUGAGUGCAUGUGAUCCCAGCGCCUUUUUUAAGGAUUUUCCCGGGGGGAGGGGGAUUUCUUGAAAAGGGACCUUUCUGUGAGAUAAUAUAAUAGGGGUAUAGCAAUGGCGGAAGGCCAUGUAUUUGGCUGACAUACCAUGCAUGAAUAGGGGGGUCUGGAGGCAUUCUCCCCCAGAAAAUGUUUGAAAUUUGAAGCCCGGAAAUGCAAUUUCCUGCAUUCCGAGCAUCCAAAUUAGCUCUAAAAUUUAUGCUAACUAUACUUGUAUUUGAAAUAAAAGAAGGAAAAAAACGA